rnacentral:rRNA from 1 species
GAUGAACGCUAGCGAUAGGCUUAACACAUGCAAGUCGAGGGGCAGCAUAGAAGUAGCAAUACUUUGGUGGCGACCGGCGCACGGGUGAGUAACACGUAUGCAACCUGCCCAUAACUGGGGAAUAACCCGUCGAAAGUCGGACUAAUACAGCAUAAUAACAGUGCUCUGCCUGGAGUGUUGUUUAAAGAUUUAUCGGUUAUGGAUGGGCAUGCGUUCCAUUAGGUAGUUGGUAGGGUAAUGGCCUACCAAGCCUACGAUGGAUAGGGGUUCUGAGAGGAAGGUCCCCCACACUGGUACUGAGACACGGACCAGACUCCUACGGGAGGCAGCAGUGAGGAAUAUUGGUCAAUGGGCGAGAGCUUGAACCAGCCAAAUCGCGUGAAGGAUGAAGGUAUUAUGUAUUGUAAACUUCUUUUGUCAGGGAAUAAAGUGCACCACGUGUGGUGUUUUGCAAGUACCUGAAGAAUAAGGAUCGGCUAACUCCGUGCCAGCCGCCGCGGUAAGAC